AGUGAACGCUGGCGGCGUGCCUAAUACAUGCAAGUCGAACGGAGUGGCGCCCGGGUGUGUAAUGUAUAGCUAAUCUGCCCUACACUAGAGGACAACAGUUGGAAACGACUGCUAAUACUCUAUAGUGUAGGAUGAGGCUAUAUUGUAUCAGCUAGUUGGUGAGGUAAUGGCUCACCAAGGCUAUGACGCAUAACUGGUCUGAGAGGAUGAUCAGUCAAACUGGAAGUGAGGCACGGGCCAGAAUCAUACGGGAGGGAGCAGUAGGGAAUAGUGCUCAAUGGGGGAAAACGUGAAGGAGCAACGGCGCGUGGAGGAUGACAAUUUGCGGAGCGUAAACUCCUUUUGUUAGGGAAGCGGUACCUAACGAAUAAGCACCGGCUAACUCCGUGCCAGCAGCCGCGGUAAUAC
rnacentral:rRNA from 1 species